GUCUGUGCUUCCUCGCUAGCGAAGGACAACUGUGAAUAACUUGACCCGUCUAGAGAAUAUUUUCUCAGUGAUGACGCAUCUGGAUCUGAGACAGGGAGACCUUGAAAGCUGCCAAGUGGAGGAACCUGAAGGAUUUAGUUACCCAGCAGGACCCAUCUUUUUGGAUACCUUCAAGUUUUCCCUUGAAGUAAAAAACAAGAGAAAAUCAUCCCUCUCCUCCAACCACCUGCUUGCUGAGGCUGGGAGAGCCGAGCACUCAAGGUUGUGUGCAUCUGUGAAGGUGCAAGUGAGUGGGCUGAGGAGAGAGACCGAGAAAAUGUUUCUAUGGUGACUGAGCUCAUCCGUCCGGUGUUUCCUGAAAAGAGAGACUGAAAAACUUCUACAGACAGAGAGCAGAGGAGUGACAUGCUUCACCUUUUGUUCUGAAUUACUGUCUUGUCCUGAUGGAAGAUUGCAUUGAUGCUAGUUAAAGUUGCUGUGGAUCAAAUUAAAUUGAUUAUUCAGCUCAAUUUCAACUUUUGUUUUAUGUGCAAAAUAUUAAAGAGCCGAUUUAAACUGAAGCGAA